UACGUAGGGGGCAAGCGUUGUCCGGAAUCAUUGGGCGUAAAGAGCGUGUAGGCGGCCUGGUAAGUCCGCUGUGAAAGUCCAGGGCUCAACCCUGGAAUGCCGGUGGAACUGUACAGGCUCGAGUACCGGAAGAGGCGAGUGGAAUUCCUGGUGUAGCGGUGAAAUGGCGCAGAUAUCAGGAAGAACACCCGUGGCUAAGGCGGCUCUCUAGUACGGUACUGACGCUGAGACGCGAAAGCGUGGGGAGCGAACAGG
rnacentral:rRNA from 1 species